CCUCCCUCUUGGACCUUCUUCCCAGCCCACCCCACCCCCACCCAUCUAGGGCAUCCCAGAGCACUGAGCUGAGCCCCCUGAGUCGCUUCUGAACCUCCCUGUGCUUCGGCUUCUUUGUCACGGAAGAAAAGCAAGACUGCCUGCCAAGUGAGAUCACACUAGUAGAAACUUAGAUCAGCACCUGGCACAGCCAGUGCCAUUGUAAGAAGUCUGCUGCUUGUGGCAAACGUGUCCCCUGUGGUUCUGACAUCACCCUCCUCCACCCCCCAGCUUUAUUGCAAUACACUUGACAUACAACAUUGUAUAUGUGCAACGUGUAUAGUGUUGGUCUGACACACUGACAUGCUGCAAAAUGAUACCUCCACAGCCUUCGCAGACACCUCCAUCCCAUCACAUAAUUACCGUUUCCUUUUCGUGGUGAGAGCUCUUAAGAUCUACUCUCUCCGCAACUUUCAAGUUCAUAAUAGAGUAUCAGUAGCUAUAAUCACCAUGCUGCACAUUAUAUCCCAGAAUAUGCNNNNNNNNNNNNNNNNNNNNNNNNNNNNNNNNNNNNNNNNNNNNNNNNNNNNNNNNNNNNNNNNNNNNNNACUCUACUCUCUGCCGCUCUGAGAUAUUUUUGGAUUCCACACAUAAGGGCCUCCCUUGACCUGCUGGUUGCUGACUCUCUGCCUCUGACCAAGAUCUCCUGUUCUGCUGCCAGUAUAGGGCAGCUUCCCCACCGCCUCAGCCUGGCCAGUGCGUUUCCCAGUCAAUCCCUGCCACCGGCACUUUGUCCUUUUUCCAGCGAUCAUCACGUUCUUCACCACUUCAAACAUCCAGCAUUAAAAACUCAUUGGCUCCUCUCCUUUUCCCAUCUCACACAGCCCGGCCAUGCCCCUCAGGAGCAGGAGUCUAGGCCCAACCACAGGCCAGGAUAAGGAUCAGGAAAGUGAAUUCAUUAGUGGUUAACAUUUUCUUUGAUGCUGUUUGUAGGAGGGGAAGCCUGCACUUUCUGCUCCCUGCAGCUUCAUGUCAGGGCUGUGACUGCAGGCCUUUUUGAGACUGCAAAUAGGCCUGACCCACCUGGCCAAUCUCAAAGUCCAUGUUCCCAGAGUACACCACUGCUCCAAACUGGAGUCACUGAACUUCAACUCCCCCAAGACCUGGAGGGGAACAAGCACCCCAGUGUUGCUUUAGGUGUUCAAACCAAGACUCUGGUGCCACUGAUGAGAAGGAGGUACAGGAGGUGGAAGCACCUGGAAAGCAUUUGCUUCCAGAGAAGAGGGGCCGCGCUCUCAUGUCACUCUGCUUGGCUGGAACCCACUAUCACUGUCAGCCUCCAUGGACCUGUCCUCCCCUCACCCAUCUUCCCGUCUUCUAUCAUCGGCACUCCCACCUCCCUCCCGCUCCACUUCCAGCCCUGGUGCCCCAGCUCUCAGCCUUGGCUCCAGGCAGGAGGCCCCUUCCCACUUCUUCACCGCAGCCUGAGCAUGGGGACUGAUCCAGAUUUACUGGGGCCUGAAUCAUGUUCACUCUUUUAA
ensembl:lncRNA